CUGGGUGGUAGCGAGGGGGAGGGGGGGGCCAGCAGUGGCCACAGAGUACCAGCAGCCGCGGAGUCUGGGUCCCGGCAGGAGCCACGGCAGCCACAGAACCCUGGCAGCCACGGAGCUCUAGUCUCGGGAGCUAUGGCCAGGCAGGCAGUAGUGAGGCUCAGCUGGAGUCCUAGCCGGGGGCAGCACCGGCCAUACUGGGAGGGACCUCCCCUUGUUUGGGAGGUCCUGAGGGUGCCGGAUGAGGGAGGUCCAACCUGUAUUAUUAAUUUGUUCUAGGCGCAGCAUCAGCUCCUGGGAUGUGCCCGGUGACUUCUUGGUAUGUCAGAGUUUGGCUGUUUGACAUUUCUCAUUUCUGGUGCAAUUGCAGAGAGAAGGAGGCAGACCAGAAUUCAUUUUGUCCUUUGGAACCUAUAGGGGCAUAUUUUAAUUUUCCGGCAUAACUCCCAUUCAGAUCCUGAAAAUCCCUCCUGGAACAUGCCCUGUAAUAUAGAACAGAUUUUCUAUAAAAGUCACUUUGUUCCACAAUUAAAAUUCUAAGAAGGAACUGAAAGAUUAUCGCUGAAUCAAUAUGAAAAGCCUGCCAGCUCCCCUCGUGGUCCGGGAAAGAGACAGAAACGAAUCCUGCCUUUGAGCAGCAAACCGGCCUCGUCAACGUUACUCCGGUGUAAAUGCGCAGGGUGACUCCAGAGUCACUCUGGUCUGGCUGCGGGUGGAGAUUGGCCCUGGCCUUGAACCGCACAUGCCCAGACUCCCGGGUGGAAAUGCCUGUAAAUGAAUGAAAGACGGGCAAGAAGAAGUGGAAAACUUUGACAAAGAGGUUCAGUGAACUUGAUACUUUACACCCAGCUGCAUUUUUGUCCUUGUGACAUUUUUAUAGGCUACUAUGUAGGUUCGCUCAUGUAGUGUCACUGUAGCCAAGUUCUCGGUUUGUUGCAAUAUAUAGUAAUGCCGUACCCUGCAAACAGCCGCCUGGAAGGGAUUUUACAUGAGGCGGGGUAGCAGUUUUGCUGGGGCUAAGCCUGGCUGAGUAGCCAAGGGACGGGGAGGCCUCCCGGGAGUGCCACUGGGAUCCUGGGAAUUUUUGGUUUUCACGCAGGCCUCAUCGUGGAUCAGACGCGAGUCCUGUGCGCCCGAUUUGCCCUCCUCUCCUGCUGCAGUUUGUUCUCCCGGCAUCUGUCUUGGUGGAUUGAAUUCCCGAGACGGGGAUGGCUCAGAAGCAGGUGGGGGGGCCGGGUUUUCAUUUUUAAACGGACUUGCUAUUGUUUCUCUCGUUUCCUAAGACCUUGAAAGCAGCCGAAUCCACGUCACUGGUGAAUGGGGAUACAGGAGCCCUGGUACACACACAUGCACAGGCUGAUGUGCAGCUGUGUGUGUCUCUAGCAGAAAUCCACCACCGCGCAUGAGAAAAGCAACCAAAAUCAUGCCGAGUGGGAGCGGGAAUGAAGAAUGGAUCUUCAGGCAAACCACCUCCCAACUGGCUUUUAAUUACCUUUAGAUUCAAACUGACUGGUUGAACGUGUGUGUGCGGAUGGGGGGGCGUUAUAUGUCCAGCCCCAGUCACUCGGGCCGGGAGCCACGGACGCCGCUAACCUCCCAUCUUUUACGGGCGUAGCUUGAGCAAGUUUGAGUCUCCGGAGUUACAGGCAUCUUUCAGCCAUCCGUCAUGCUAAAAGGAGCCCUUUCUUCCUCCCCGCCGUAUGGCCUGUCUUUUACUGCGGCUCGCCAGCCCAGCCUCCCUGCAACACGCGUUGCAUUUUAAAAAGGAAACUCAGAAAUUCAGGACUACGUCAUCAAAUAGCAAGCAGGGUGAAGAAACCCCCCUCUUGAAGCUGAAGUGGGAUUCACCGAGUAAAACCAAUAUUUAUCUUAGCAUGGCUUAGAGCUGGCCUACCUAUAAAUUUUGCUUUAUUGCUCACGGUCUGUUUUGGUAAUUUUUUUGUUGUUGCUUUGCUCGGGCCCCAGAGAAGGGGGCUGGUCUGCCUUCUCGCCCUUUGUGGUGGUUUUAUUUAUAUGAAACACUUCCCAAGAAUUUAAUGUAGCAAUUCCAGGAGCUGGUUCCCAGCCCGGCAGACAGCAGCUCGUCAGCAAAGGCCCUUUGGGUCGGCCUGGGAUGGCAGCACGUGGCCUCGCUCAGAGCUGGGAGCCAGGCGGGAGGUGGACCCAUUUCCCGGCACCACUGGGGGUGCGAGAGGCGGUGGG